rnacentral:tRNA from 1 species
GGCCCGGAGAUGAUUGCCAAAACGGCGUUGGCCUCCGGAGCCAAAGGCCGUGGGUUCGAAUCCUGCA